CCUACGGGUGGCAGCAGUAGGGAAUAUUGCUCAAUGGAGGAAAGUCUGAACCAGCCAUGCCGCGUGGAGGAUGACGGCUUUAGGAUUGUAAACUCCUUUUGUUAGAGAAGAAAAUGACGGUAUCUAACGAAUACGCACAGGCUAACUCCGUGCCAGAAGGCGCGGUACUACGGCGGGUUCAAGCGUUACACGGAGUUAUUGGGCUUAAAGAGCGCGUAGGGGGGAUAGCAAGUCAGAUGUGAAAUCCUAUGGCUUAACCAUAGAACUGCAUUUGAAACUGUUAUUCUAGAGUAUGGUUGGGGUAGGUGGAAUGCUUGGUGUAGCGGUAAAAUCCUUAGAGAUCAAAAAGAAUACUCAUUGCGAAGGCGACCUACUAGGACAUUACUGACGCUGAUGCGCGAAAGCGUGGGGAGCAAACAGGAUUAGAUACCCGUGUAGUC
rnacentral:rRNA from 1 species